rnacentral:rRNA from 1 species
GAUGAACGCUGGCGGCGUGCCUAAUACAUGCAAGUCGAGCGAACGGACGAGAAGCUUGCUUCUCUGAUGUUAGCGGCGGACGGGUGAGUAACACGUGGAUAACCUACCUAUAAGACUGGGAUAAUUUCGGGAAACCGGAGCUAAUACUGGAUAAUAUUUUGAACCGCAUGGUUCAAAAGUGAAAGACGGUCUUGCUGUCACUUAUAGAUGGAUCCGCGCUGCAUUAGCUAGUUGGUAAGGUAACGGCUUACCAAGGCAACGAUGCAUAGCCGACCUGAGAGGGUGAUCGGCCACACGGGAACUGAGACACGGUCCAGACGCCUACGAGAGGCAGCAGUAGGGAAUCUUCCGCAAUGGGCGAGAGCCUGACGGAGCAACGCGGCGUGAGUGAUGAAAGUCUUCGGAUCGUAAAACUCUGUUAUUAGGGAAGAACAUAUGUGUAAGUAACUGUGCACAUCUUGACGGUACCUAAUCAGAAAGCCACGGCUAACUACGUG